UUGAACGCUGGCGGCGUGCUUAACACAUGCAAGUCGAGCGGUAAGGCCCUUUCGGGGUACGACGAGCGGCGAACGGGUGAGUAACACGUGGGUGACCUGCCCUCAGCUCUGGGAUAAGCCCGGGAAACUGGGUCUAAUACCGGAUAUGACUUCAUGACGCAUGUUGUGGAGUGGAAAGCCUUGUGCGGCUGAGGAUGGGCCCGCGGCCUAUCAGCUUGUUGGUGGGGUGANGGCCUACCAAGGCGACGACGGGUAGCCGGCCUGAGA
rnacentral:rRNA from 1 species